rnacentral:tRNA from 1 species
UUAAUGGGAGCUAGACUAGCGUCUCUUUGUUAAGGAGUCGAUUAGACCUUAGUGUGGUCUUCAUUAAG